AACGAACGCUGGCGGCAUGCCUAACACAUGCAAGUCGAACGAGACCUUCGGGUCUAGUGGCGCACGGGUGCGUAACGCGUGGGAACCUGCCCUUAGGUUCGGAAUAACUCCCCGAAAGGGGUGCUAAUACCGGAUAAUGUCUUCGGACCAAAGAUUUAUCGCCUUUGGAUGGGCCCGCGUUGGAUUAGCUAGUUGGUAGGGUAAAAGCCUACCAAGGCGACGAUCCAUAGCCGGUCUGAGAGGAAGAUCAGCCACACUGGGACUGAGACACGGCCCAGACUCCUACGGGAGGCAGCAGUGGGGAAUAUUGGACAAUGGGCGAAAGCCUGAUCCAGCAAUGCCGCGUGAGUGAUGAAGGCCUUAGGGUUGUAAAGCUCUUUUACCCGGGAUGAUAAUGACAGUACCGGGAGAAUAAGCUCCGGCUAACUCCGUG
rnacentral:rRNA from 1 species